rnacentral:rRNA from 1 species
UAGGGAAUCUUCGGCAAUGGACGAAAGUCUGAUCGAGCAACGCCGCGUGAGUGAAGAAGGUUUUCGGAUCGUAAAACUCUGUUGGUAGAGAAGAACGUUGGUGAGAGUGGAAAGCUCAUCAAGUGACGGUAACUACCCAGAAAGGGACGGCUAACUACGUGCCAC